rnacentral:rRNA from 1 species
GACGAACGCUGGCGGCGUGCUUAACACAUGCAAGUCGAACGCUGAAGCUUGGUGCUUGCUCUGGGUGGAUGAGUGGCGAACGGGUGAGUAAUACGUGAGUAACCUGCCCUUGACUCUGGGAUAAGCCUGGGAAACUGGGUCUAAUACUGGAUACGACAUGUCACCGCAUGGUGGUGUGUGGAAAGGGUUUUACUGGUUUUGGAUGGGCUCACGGCCUAUCAGCUUGUUGGUGGGGUAAUGGCUCACCAAGGCGACGACGGGUAGCCGGCCUGAGAGGGUGACCGGCCACACUGGGACUGAGACACGGCCCAGACUCCUACGGGAGGCAGCAGUGGGGAAUAUUGCACAAUGGGCGGAAGCCUGAUGCAGCGACGCCGCGUGAGGGAUGACGGCCUUCGGGUUGUAAACCUCUUUCAGCACGGAAGAAGCGAAAGUGACGGUACGUGCAGAAGAAGCGCCGGCUAACUACGUG